rnacentral:lncRNA from 1 species
GUCUUGAAUGUCCGGAGAUGACGAGUAAGUGGCGAAGGGUUUCGAUGUUGAAAUUGACACUUCUGGAACCUGGAUCAGAGCGAUUAUCCGACGAUAAUAGUUUCGACGUGUGACCUUGGUGUUUGCUGCUAAGACAUUCGAAAUGAUGUGUUUUGAGGUAGUGAGUGACUCGUGACAUGAGUCGGUGAGUUUUGGGACACUUCGUGGGUCCCAGCGACAUUCCGAUGCUAUUUUUGGGACUUCCGGCGAGUUACGGAGAUCGAUUUUUGGAAACCGAUUUCAUGAAAAAUUUUGGGGAUUGUGAAUAUUGUGUUUUGAGCCGUUUGGGUCGGA